CAUUACUGGUUUUUAUUGGGCUGCACAAGAGUCAUCCUCGCUUCCCUUUUAUUGAGAUUCCAUCCCACGUUUCGAUGAGGAUGGUGAAAUGUCAUUCCUCUCCUGGAAAUCCGCUGCCAGGGCCCCGCCUUCAUGUCAGAUAUUGAAAAGGAAGGAGAGUGCAGACUUCACAGAACGCAACUUGCGCCUCACUGCCCCACGGAUGGCCGGGUGCAGAGCUACUGAGGAGAUGGAGGAGAGCACUCGCUGACACGAGCCAUGGCAGUCAGACACAAGCUGGAUCUAGCGUUGGGCAGCUCUUGCAGCCAGCUGAUUUCCGGACAUUGCGUUUUUCAAGAGACUGCAUUGCACGGCAGAAGAAAGCUGGGAAAAUGCUUCCUCCACGUGACUUUUCACUUGUUGAUACUUUCUGCAGGGUUCUUGUCCCAAAGGAGACAGCGCACACAGGGACGUGAUGGGGCCACAGAGGGACGCGAUGGGGACGGACUGUCCUUACCACCACGCACAAGUGAGCUUCUUUGGUCCUCUGUCAUGAAGUAUGGAGGAACGAAUUUUGAGUGUUACUUCGGAGCGGGUGCAGUGCUGCAGGGGAUGUCAAGUAAGUCACUGUGGAAGCAUUAGAGAGGCCAACAGCGGCAGCUGAUGACUGGAGUGAGACAGAAGUCUGCGUACAAAUGGUGAUGCGUAGAACUGAGUGCAUUCAUUUGAGAGGCAACAAAGAUGUGUCUCAACUUUUGACCUGAUCGCGUUUUGUAUGCUGAUCCACCUUUGCUCUGCAGAAUGCAGAGCUGUCGGGCAGGCUGGGAUUCCUUUGCUGCCAUCUGAGCAAGGAAUGAGACCGGUAAUGCUUUUUGUAAGCGCACUGCAGUUUAAACGUCAGUUUCCAGGCUGCAUGUGGUUCCUUUUUGGUCCUUUUCAACCCAGGCCAUUCUAUGAUUCUGUGAUUCUAUGACGCUGUGAUUCCGUUUUGGCUGUACAAUGGUGUCUUUGGCUUUUUUGGGGGUGGACAUGGGCUAACAGGACAAUACUGCUCCUGGCUACUGGUUUCCAUUAAAUCAGCAAAUUGUAUUUUUGUCUUAGGGAUGGAGCCUGCACGUCCAUCGAGUGAUGGUGGGCAAGGGGGGGAAAUGGAAAGCCUCCGCAGGCGUGUGUGUGACGGAGGAGAGAGGAAAGGACCCUGCCGAUCUGUGCUGACUGCAGAAAUGGCACAACACUGUGGUAGCAGAAAGGCAAACUGAAGAAACUGUGCUUGAAG
ensembl:lncRNA